GCCCAUGAUGGAAACAAUUGGAAAAUCGUAAACCCUAACCAUCUUUAACUCUUCGUGCGUUUCCCUGCUUGUCCGUGCAUCUCUUCUCUGCGUGUUCACUGUGCGUCUCUUCUUUGUGUGUGUUCCCGAAUCUUUGUGCAUUUUCCAGCUUGUUUGUGCGUCUCUUCUCUGCGUGUUCACUAUGCGCCUCUUCUCUGUGUGUUCACUGUGCGUCUCUUCUCUGUGUGUGUUUCGUUGUGCAUCUCCCAGGUCACCAUGUUUAUUGUCUACCUUAUUAUGGCGUUGUGGUCGAACAUUCAUUCUUAUUCUUACUGAAAGUCGUACGUACCUAAAGCCAAGUGAUGCUCUUCUCACAAUCUCGUAAGGUUCCUUUGGUUGGCUUCCUUGUCCAAUCCUAGCUCUUUGGUUCGAGUUGUCUCUCAGGUUGAAAGCUGGUCUACAUUAUUUGGAUAUCCUACAGUUACUCAAGGAUAGUUCUUUAUUGCCAAUUCCAUCAUACCAGUCUAAGGAAUUUCAACAACCACCAACUACAUGGGAGGUAGUGAAGAGAACAAAAAAAUUGAAGAUCGGAGCAUGGGUUAAUGACAAGACCCUAACCUUGUAGAAAGAUAUCAUAAGCGUCGAGAGGAGGUCCUAUAAUGUGUCGUCGGGGAAGGAACAUCCACACAAAAGUCCCCUUCUACCUCCGUCAAUGACAAUGAAAUAUAUUUAGGUGUUAUAGGAGGUGAGAAUGACAAAGGGAAUGUGUAUGGACUUGGUACAUUGAGCAAAAAGUUUAGUCGCUCAACAUGUGCUCAAUCUACUUUAACCUAAGCUCCAAUAGUAGAGAAAAUAGAAGAAAUCCAUGAGACAAUUGAAAAAUUGAAUGUCGAGCUUAUGGAAAAGGAAGUGAAGGAGAGGACACUUGAAGAAAUAAUGGAUCAAUUAAUGCAAAAUCACGAGUUGCAAAGUGAAGAUGAGACAACAAAGUGAGCAUAUGCAAUGACAAGAUGAGAAAAUGCAAUUAAUCUUACGAAACUUUCAAAUUAACUCUUUCAUGCCAGGGCCUAGUAUACCAUGCUGAAGAUGUCCAGGAUGAUCAUGUUGAUGAGACACCGAAAGACUAUUAAUUGCAUGUGUAUUUGUCUUUUAUGAUAUCAUAUACUUAUUUUAGUUUUUUUAUUAGUUAUAUGUAAUAUACUUUACUAUGGAUGUUUUUUAUU